AACUUGAAAGAACAACUCUACAAACAAAAAAAAAAUAUUGUUGCCCUGGAUAUUUGAGCAAAUUUUAAUGGUUUCAAGUGCCCAAAUUACGAAUAUAUUUCCGAAAUUUUUUCUAGUCAUGAUUACUCACGUGAUCCCUAUUCUCAGGCCCUUACAGAUGAUUUGUGAAGAAUGCAGAAUGUUUUAAUAAAAAUCAAAAGUGGACACUCUGCAAAAUGUCCAGCUUAACUCAAUGAAAAUUUUCCUUUGCUUUUCAAGAGUUAUAGACAGGUCAUGGAAAAUAAGGAUAUUGCCGAAUUCCCAAAAGAUUUGAAGUGUGGAGUGGAAGAGCUUUUGGCCGCUAAGUCAAAUGUUGUUUUCUGAACAUGUUCUUAGUAAUUUAAGGCGUGAUCAAGUUAAGAAUGAAAAAAAAAUUUUUCAAAUCGCUGGACGUGGAAGGAUUUUGCUUAAAUUACAUUUGUAGAUUAUUUCCGAAGUUUAGUAUGGAAAAGUUGAAUGGUGGAAUAUUUAAAUAGAGCAAUUAAUGAAAGCUACACAUUUUUUCAAGGUUUUGACUGUACUGAAAAAGUUUGUAUCUGGAAAUGUUUUGAGUUGAGGUUAGAAAAUUUCCUAGGCAACCAUAAAGCGUGACAUUAUGAAAAAAUUGUGAAAAAUAUGACGCCAAACAUUUAGAAUCUAGGAGCAAACAUGUGUAUUAAGUUAGCCUUUCUCUGGCAUCAUCUGGAUAAGUUUUCGGAUAAUUUUAGAAAUUAGAAAUCGUUACAGAAACUUGCCACCUUCAUAUUACAAAAUUUAGUAAAUAAUUAAUUAAUAAAUAAUUUAACUUUGA